GUCCUAAACUGGAGGAGUGACUCCAAAUGAUUCCAGGAAUAGAAACAUUAUUUUCAGUACAGAAGAGUGAAACUGACCUCUGGUUACAUUUUUAUCAAGUGCUGUUAAUUAACUCGUAGUCAGUAUUUAAACAGAAGUGAUCUUUAUCUGCUGUUUUUGCUAUUAAGGAAGUACAGAGUCUGAGACGACUGCAGCCCUUUUGCAGUGUUCUGCGCUGGAGAGUUUAGUUUUGUUCUCGGUUUAUGGAGAAUUCUGAGUCUCAUUUUCAGCUCUGUGACAGGAAGUGAUUACUAACUGGACCUGCAAAGUCGUAUAUUAACUUUAAACUUCAAGCUUUAACCUGAAAUCAGAGUGUGAUUACUUUUUAUCAAAGUGAAACUGAACUGAACAUUCGGACUGGAGAGAACUACAACAGCAGCAAAAUAAAAUGACUUCUACAUUUUCAGAGGAGGAUUUGUCCUGUCCUGUGUGCUGUGAAAUCUUCACGGAUCCUGUUGUUCUGCGCUGCAGUCACAGUGUGUGUAAAGUAUGUUUGCAGAAGUUCUGGGACACCAAAGGAUUCAGAGAAUGUCCUAUUUGUAGGACGAAGUCGUCUAUGACGGAACCUCCCAGAAAUCUGGCCUUAAAGAACCCGUGUGAGACUUUCUUACAGGAGAGAAGUCAGAGAUCUUCAUCGGCGUCUGAAACAGUCUGCAGUUGGCACAGUGAGAAAUUCAAACCCUUCUGUCUGGAUGAUCAACAGCCGGUGUGUGUGGUGUGUCUGACUUCAAGAAAACACACCAACCAUAAAUUCUGCUCCAUUGAUGAGGCAUUAACAGAUCGUAAGGAGGAGCUGAAAACUGCUCUGAAGCCCCUACAGGAGAAACUGAAGAUCUUUAAAGACUGUAAACUGAACUGGAGUCAGACUGCAGAACAUAUAAAGAUUCAGGCCCAACACGCAGAGCGGCAGAUUAAGGAGGAGUUUGAGAAGCUUCACCGGGUUCUAUGAGAUGAACCGGCAGCCAGGAUAACUGCACUGAGAGAGGAAGAGGAGCAGAAGAGUCAGAUGAUGAUGGAGAAGAUUGAGAAGCUGAGCGGAGACAUAUCAUCUCUUUCAGACACAAUCAGAGGCAUAGAAGAGGUGAUGAAAGCUGAAGACGUCUCAUUCUUACAGAUCUACAAGGCCACAGUGAAAAGAGCUCAGUGCACUGUGCAGCAUCCAGAGGAGCUUUCAGGACCACUGAUCCAUGUGGCAAAACAUCUGGACAACCUGAAGUUCAGAGUCUGGGAGAAGAUGCAGGACGCUGUCCAAUACAGUAAGAGGAUAUAUGUGCACACAUACUAAUCAUAGGUCCAAAUAUUGCUAAAUUUGGCUGAAUUAUAAAAGCCAUGAGUCGUACUGAAUGAGGAGUCGUUUGGGAGAUUAUUGCUGAGCUGGGUCAAAUGAACCGGCUCACUAAAUAGAGCUGGAAUAACCACAACUAAUUUGUGUAUCUUUGAUUCUGGUGCGUGUACGUGUCUAUAAAUCUUUACGUGCCCUGAUGUUGCCAUGACAACUGGUCACUCACGUCACGAUCGCAAUGAACUCAAAGCGAAAAGAAUUAUAAUAAUAAUGUAACUCCUGUUUUACUAAGUCGAGCAGUGUAAGUGUAAGUUCUUUUGGCGUGUGGUAUUCAUGUUGCACAAUGAUGAAUAAUUUGGUGCAUAUUUCUCUUUAAACACUGCCUAUGUCCAGUGAUGAAUAAUUAGAAGGAUUUGAUGGUAAUAUUAGUCUGCACUUAUUUUCAAAAUUUUGUAACGUAUUUUAUGUCUAUUACAGCUGUGUUAUCUGAGUCCGUCAGAUUAGAAUAAAACGGUGAAUAGUUAAUGUUGAAUUAGGAUUUGCAUGGAUUACAUGUGUCUGGAUCUGGCAGCGUUGCAUGGUGGUUUCUUUUACUGUUGAUGUGACAUGUUGUGCUGAUGUGGGUCUUACUGCAGUGACAUGUUUGUUAGUUUAGUUCAAUUACAGUCUCUUUUCAACAGUGCAGUUUGAGUGACUUGUUUCUUUUCUGAACUGUGGACUGUUGAAUAGAAUAGAAUAAAGCAGUCUGUGAAUAUACACAUAUAUAUUAUAUACGGUGUGCUAUGGAUAUGUAAUACAAUGUAUAUGAAACACAAGUCGCAAUAUUUAAAUAAUACAGUGCAAUGGUUACAAAGAUGAGGAAUGGAACGUAUACUGCACAAUCUGUGAAGCAAUUGAAAGUCUCUUUGUGGUGUAGCUGUGAUUGUGCUGUGAAUUGGAUGCAGGUGUGUUUGUAGGCCUCAGGGGGUCAUCCUCCGCCCCAUACCACACAGUGACUGUUAAGCUUCCUGGACGUUAUCAACUACGGUCUUCAGUGGAUCACUGAUUGCUCUUUCAUGACCAAAUCCUGAGAGUCGGGUGUUCUAAGGAAAAGCCUGAGAUUGAAUGGACUUAUGCUCUGCACCUGUACUACGGCUGGCAAACUACAAAAAAGACUUUCUCUUAUAUGUGACAGAGAGGGGGAGCUGCUGCGUGGGUCCCGGCUCAGGAGUAUGGGGGCGCUUACAGGACUUUAGCUUAUUUAUCGAAGACAUUGGAUUUGGUGGCACAAGGAUUACCAGCACGUUUGCGUGCCAUGGCUGGAGGUGCUCUCUUAGAGCAGACUGCUCGGAAAAUGGCUCUAACACAUUGAUCUUACACUCAUCACACCAGGUCACUUCCAUUUUGAAUUAUAUCCACAUGCAACACAUGACAGCUCAACAAAGAACAGGAUAUGAGGUUAUUCUUUGUGUCACUCAAAAUGUAACUAUUAAACCUACUAGUGUGCCUAACACACCAACUGUAGUGUUGUAUUGCCUAAUUAAUUCUAUUGAGCCAGUCACUGAGAACACUCAGGAUUGCCUAGCCGAAAUUCACAUUUCCUCGAGCCUAAGUUUGAACUUUUUAGACGUUCCAUCUGAAAGAUUUUGUGUCUGAAAUUUCACAAACAUUAUGAGCACCCCUGCUCUGCCCAAUUGGCUGAAUUAAAAGCAAUCACUACAGAGUGCGAACUGGUUAAGGGUAGAAUUAAUAUAUAGAUACUGACUCUGCUUAUGCCCAUGAAGUGUGUCAUCUGUUUGGAGCUGUUUGAAAGUGUUGAAAUGCCACUUUAAGAUACCGAACAAAUAGUUUAAUUGAUUUCUGAUUGUACCUACUGCACUUCUCACUGUAUGAAUUUCAGAUGCGCAUGGUUUUAACCAGUGCACGAGAGAUAAGUUAUGGGAAAGAUAAAACAACAAGAGGACUGGUUUCUGUACUUGCAGGCAAUGGUGGAUAAUUUUUUUUAACUUACAGGCAAUGGUGGAUAAUAAUCUGAGUGUGAAAUUUGUGCUCAAAACAAUGUCAGAAAGGGAAAUCAGUAUCAAUAGGGCAAAUAUUAAUGUAUGAAGGGCAAUUUAAGCACUUGGUGAUAGACAGGUUUAGCAGAUGGAGGGAGGCAACACCAUCAGCAGACCAAACUGCAGGAACAGUGAUUAAAUUGAUCUCUCCGGGCGACCAAAUAAACGGCCAAUCAUAUCGGCUGUUCAAUGGGUAGCUUGGUUGUGGUGGAGAGGCACCUAUGGCUCAAGUUCCUCAAGAUUCCAGUUCCUCAAGUGAGGACGAAGAAGAGCCUUGAUGAACCAUACCCUGGGUGUAAGUGCUAGCCUAAACCUUUCCCCAAGGGUGGCCCCCUGCGAUAUGCAAAGUAUCUGAGUCGAAGACAAACAUUGCUAAGACAUCCCCUAAGAAAGGAUGUGAUGGAUUUUUUAUUUUUCUGCUUUUUCCAUUUUUUCUAUUAAAAUAUAAUCAAGUGUGUUUAGAGACAGGGUGAUCACUGUCUGAUAUAUCAUUGUAAUCAAACUGAGAAAAUUGUUUUGUAUUUAUGUUUAUCAGUCUAUACUUGUAUCAGCUAUAUGUGCUUAAUCAACUGUGUAUUCUACAUAACCGUGACAACCACAGGCAAGUGCUAAAACAAAUGCAUGCUCACGCUUACAAACACCGUCUUGAUUUUUGUGGUUUGGGAAAGGGAGACAGAAUCUUUUACUCCUUUCUAGGGACUGGGGCUUCAGUCAAGACUAAAUCAGGGGUAUCUCCAAAUAGCAGUUUCUUCUAGCACAAACCCUGCAGGCCUCUUUUAGACAGCUGACAAGGAAGAAACACUUCACCUUCCAGUACAAAUCCAAGUCCAUGAAGAAACGGCUUCAGAAGAAGAUCAGUGUUUUGGAAUGUCCCAGUCAGAGUGGAAUAAAAUUGCUAAAUAAAGAUGUGCUAAGUCAGGAGACUUUUACACACCAAAUACUGUAUUACAAAUAAAAGAGGCUUUAUCAUUAGUUUAGGGGUGUGCAUACUUAUGCAACCAGGUUAUUGUUAUUCCAUUUUUUCUUCUACUUUUUUCCUCCUAAAACUUUAUUUGUUUUUCACUUGACUGUUGCUGGCUGGUGUAUCAGAUUAAAGGUGGGAAAAGAUCUGGUUAAUCUUUCUUUCAUUUUUUACAUCACAAGAACAUGCUGUUUUAAAGAGGUUGUGUAAACUUUUUUUUUUU